rnacentral:lncRNA from 1 species
AACUCCUCCAACUCAAUUGAUGUCAUUCUAUACGGAGGUUUAGAAAUAGGUGCAGUGCCAGGUAAGAUCAAUUGUAAAUUCAAUCUAUCUAUUUUGUAGUAGUGCAAGUAGAUUUUCGGGAAAAACAUCUGGAAAAUCCCAUACAAUGGGGAUGUCCUUUAAUACUGGCUUCUUAGAUUCUUCUUCAAAAAUAAAGGUCAAGUAUCCCUGACAUCCUUUGAGUAAUAAUUGGGUAGCACUCAAAGCUGAAAUAAUAUAAGGGAACUUUUCCUGAAUCCCAAUGAACUUGAAAGAUGGUUGAUCUAAGGGUGAAAAAGUAAUAGUCUUCCGGAAACAAUCGACACUUGCAUGGUAUGUUGAAAGUCAGUCCAUACCCAAGAUAGCAUCGAAAUAUUGAAAUUCUAGUAUAAUAAGAUCUACUAGCAAAUCAUGACCUUUAAUAGUAAUAACACAGUUUCUAUAUAUCUGAUCAACUGUCAAAGAGUUUCCAACUUAUUAUUUGUAUGAACACCUCUCCGAGUGCGUACACUAGUAGCAUUGCGACCAUGAGCACCCCGAGUGAUAAAACCACUAAUCUUUGGAAUUGGCUCUAUUAC